rnacentral:rRNA from 1 species
CCUACGGGGGGCAGCAGUGGGGGAUAUUGCACAAUGGGGGGAACCCUGAUGCAGCGACGCCGCGUGGGUGAAGGAGCGUUUCGGCGCGUAAAGCCCUAUCGGCAGGGAAGAAGAUGAUGGUACCUGACCAAGAAGCCCCGGCUAACUACGUGCCAGCAGCCGCGGUAAUACGUAGGGGGCAAGCGUUAUCCGGAUUUACUGGGUGUAAAGGGGGCGCAGACGGCAAUGCAAGCCAGGAGUGAAGGUGAGGGGCCCAACCCCGGGACUGCGCUUGGAACUGCAUGGCUGGAGUACGGGAGGGGAAGGCGGAAUGCGUAGUGGAGCGGUGAAAGGCGUAGAUAUCAGGAGGAACCCCGGUGGCGAAGGCGGCCUACGGGA